rnacentral:tRNA from 1 species
GCCGAUGUAGCGCAGCUGGUCAGAGCAGCUGAUUUGUAAUCAGCAGGUCGUGGGUUCGAAUCCCUCCAUCGGCU